rnacentral:rRNA from 1 species
GAUGAACGCUAGCUACAGGCUUAACACAUGCAAGUCGCGGGGCAGCAUGGGGGUUGCUUGCCACCCCUGAUGGCGACCGGCGCACGGGUGAGUAACGCGUAUCCAACCUGCCCUUCACCACGGGAUAACCCGGCGAAAGUCGGACUAAUACCGUAUUUUGUCCAUUUACGGCAUCCGAUUUGGACGAAAUGCUUGGCUGUGAAAGGAUGGGGUUGCGUCCGAUUAGCUUGACGGCGGGGUAACGGCCCACCGUGGAUACGAUCGGUAGGGGUUCUGAGAGGAAGGUCCCCCACACUGGAACUGAGACACGGUCCAGACACCUACGGGAGGCAGCAGUGAGGAAUAUUGGUCAAUGGGCGUAAGCCUGAACCAGCCAAGUAGCGUACAGGAGGACGGCCCUAUGGGUUGUAAACUGCUUUGAUGCGGGGAUAAAGUGGCCCACGUGUGGGCUUUUGAAGGUACCGCAUGAAUAAGGACCGGCUAAUUCCGUG